GUCGAACGAUGAUGCCCAGCUUGCUGGGUGGAUUAGUGGCGAACGCGUGAGUAACACGUGAGUAACCUGCCCCUGACUCUGGGAUAAGCGUUGGAAACGACGUCUAAUACUGGAUAUGACUGCCGGCCGCAUGGUCUGGUGGUGGAAAGAUUUUUUGGUUGGGGAUGGACUCGCGGCCUAUCAGCUUGUUGGUGAGGUAAUGGCUCACCAAGGCGACGACGGGUAGCCGGCCUGAGAGGGUGACCGGCCACACUGGGACUGAGACACGGCCCAGACUCCUACGGGAGGCAGCAGUGGGGAAUAUUGCACAAUGGGCGAAAGCCUGAUGCAGCAACGCCGCGUGAGGGAUGACGGCCUUCGGGUUGUAAACCUCUUUUAGUAGGGAAGAAGCGUAAGUGACGGUACCUGCAGAAAAAGCACCGGCUAACUACGUGCCAGCAGCCGCGGUAAUACGUAGGGUGCAAGCGUUGUCCGGAAUUAUUGGGCGUAAAGAGCUCGUAGGCGGUUUGUCGCGUCUGCUGUGAAAUCCCGAGGCUCAACCUCGGGCUUGCAGUGGGUACGGGCAGACUAGAGUGCGGUAGGGGAGAUUGGAAUUCCUGGUGUAGCGGUGGAAUGCGCAGAUAUCAGGAGGAACACCGAUGGCGAAGGCAGAUCUCUGGGCCGUAACUGACGCUGAGGAGCGAAAGCGUGGGGAGCGAACAGGAUUAGAUACCCUGGUAGUCCACGCCGUAAACGUUGGGCGCUAGAUGUAGGGACCUUUCCACGGUUUCUGUGUCGUAGCUAACGCAUUAAGCGCCCCGCCUGGGGAGUACGGCCGCAAGGCUAAAACUCAAAGGAAUUGACGGGGGCCCGCACAAGCGGCGGAGCAUGCGGAUUAAUUCGAUGCAACGCGAAGAACCUUACCAAGGCUUGACAUACACCGGAAACGGCCAGAGAUGGUUGCCCCCUUGUGGUCGGUGUACAGGUGGUGCAUGGUUGUCGUCAGCUCGUGUCGUGAGAUGUUGGGUUAAGUCCCGCAACGAGCGCAACCCUCGUUCUAUGUUGCCAGCGCGUUAUGGCGGGGACUCAUAGGAGACUGCCGGGGUCAACUCGGAGGAAGGUGGGGAUGACGUCAAAUCAUCAUGCCCCUUAUGUCUUGGGCUUCACGCAUGCUACAAUGGCCGGUACAAAGGGCUGCGAUACCGUAAGGUGGAGCGAAUCCCAAAAAGCCGGUCUCAGUUCGGAUUGAGGUCUGCAACUCGACCUCAUGAAGUCGGAGUCGCUAGUAAUCGCAGAUCAGCAACGCUGCGGUGAAUACGUUCCCGGGCCUUGUACACACCGCCCGUCAAGUCAUGAAAGUCGGUAACACCCGAAGCCGGUGGCCUAACCC
rnacentral:rRNA from 1 species